AAAACAGAGUUCCCAUAUCAAAAUAAAAAUAUUACAAAGCUGUUCAAGCACUAAGGAACUAUUGUCAGGAUCAUGUAAGACCUGGUAACUUCAUACAUAAAUUUAAAAAAUCUUGGAAUAUUCCAAAAGAUUAAAGAUUUAUAAUAAAGAUUAAUUAAGUUGAGGAUAAGCUACAGGGGGAAAUGAGUUUUUAAAGAAUUAAAUGACUUUUAAGCAUUAUUUAUGAAAACCUAGAGCUUAGUGAGAUUGUGAAAUAUGAACACAAAAUUAAAAGGAAAUCAAAAAAGGUAAAUGUAUUUGAGCAAUGAAAGGAACUGUGUGGUGACUUGGAUUUGGGACUUACAUUUUAAGAGUGGAUAAAGUAACCAGUAACUUUAAUUUCUCCAAAGGAUAUUGAGGGAAUUGAAUAAGCAAAACAGAGAUAAUGCAGGUGGAUUUGUUUCAAUCUGAGGAUUUAGAGGAGGGUAAAAGAAGGAUGGGUAAAAGGAAUACAUUAAAGUAGAAAAGAACUAAGAGGAUGGAACUAGUGAUUAUUUGUAGCUGAUAUGUAUGACUGGAAGAAGGCAUAGACAUGAAGAAAAGGGUGGAGAAGUGGGCAAUCACUCACCCUUAUCUCCAGAAGGUCUAUAGUGAAGAUUGGAAAAAGAUGAAGAAAAAGGCAUACAUUUUUGGACAUGAUAAUAGUAUAGAUUUCUUUUGCUUGAAUUUGUUAGAAGUAGGUUUUUUUUUUUUUUAAUACCUUCCUCUUCAUUUUAGUGGCGGGGGGAGAGGGAGUCAGUAAUUGGGGGGAUAGAAAGUUAAUAACAGUGAUACCAAGAUAGAGGGUCAUUAGGAAGCACAGAUAAACAAGGUGAUUUUUGAAAAAAUGCAUAAUAUUAUGUAAUUUUAAAAGCAAGCUGUAUGGAAUGAAGAUGGGUGGCUUUAUAUUUUAAACAAAUUCUUAAAAGAUAAUGAUGAAUUUUGGAGGGAAUGUGGAAAAAUUGGGACAUGAAUACAUUGUUGGUGGAAUUGUGAAUGGAUCCAGCCAUUCUGGAGAGCAAUUUGGAACUAUGGUCAAAAAGUUAUCAAACUGUGCAUACCCUUUGAUCCAUCAGUGUUUCUACUGGCCUUUAUCCCAGAGAGAUCUUACUUUCUGAUUUUUUUUUGUUAUUAUAAUAACUUUUUAUUGACAGAACCCAUGCCAGGAUAAUUUUUUACAACAUUAUCCUUUGCACUCACUUCUGUUCCAAUUUUUCCCCUCCCUCCUUCCACCCCUUCCCCUAGAUGGCAAGCAGUCCUAUAUAUGUUAAAUAUGUCGCAGUAUAUCCUAGAUACAAUAUAUGUGUGCAAAACCAAAUAGUUCCCUUGUUGCACAGGGAUAAUUGGAUUCAGAAGGUAGAAAUAACCCAGGAAGAAAGACAAAAAUGCAAGCAGUUUACAUUCAUUUCCCAGUGUUCUUUCUUUGGGUGUAGCUGCUUCUGUCCAUCCUUGAGCAAUUAAAACUGAGUUAGAUCUCUUUGUCAAAGAAAUCCACUUCCAUCAGAAUACAUCUUCAUACAGUAUCGUUGCUGAAGAAUAUAAUGAUCUCCUGGUUCUGUUCAUUUCACUUAGCAUUAGUCCAGAGAAAUCUUAAAGGAGGGAAAGGGCCCCACAUGUGCAAAAAUGUUUGUGACUGCCCUUUUUGUAGAGGCAAGAAACUGGAAACUGAAUGGAUGCCCAUCAAUUGGAGAAUGGCUGAAUAAGUUAUGGUAUAUGAACAUUAUUGUUCUAUAAGAAAUGAUCAACAAAAUGAUUUUAGAGAGGCCUGGAGAUACUUACAUGAACUGAUGUUAAGUAAAGUGAGUAGAACUAGGAGAUCAGUGUACAAGGCAACAACAAGAUUAUACAAUGAUUAAUUAUAAUGGACAUGGCUCUUUCCAACAAUGAGAUGAUUCAGAUCAGUUCCAAUAAUCUUGUGAUGAAGAAAGCCCUCUAUGCCCAGAGAAAGGACUGUGAGAACUGAGUAUGGACCACAACAUAGCAUUUUCACUCUUUUUGUUGUUGUUUGCUUGUAUUUUGUUUUCUUUCUCAGUUUUUUUCCUUCUUGAUCCGAUUUUUCUUGUGCAGAAAAAUAAUUGUAUAAAUAUGUAUAUACGUAUUGAAUUUAACACAUAUUUUAACAUAAAAAAUUCCUAGUUAGCAAUCCUG
ensembl:lncRNA